GUGGCUGUGGCUCAGUGGUAGAGCACUUGCAUGAGGUACUGGGUUCGAUCCUCAGCACCACA
rnacentral:tRNA from 2 species